UACGAAGGGUGCAAGCGUUACUCGGAAUUACUGGGCGUAAAGCGUGCGUAGGUGGUGAGUUAAGUCUGUCGUGAAAGCCCCGGGCUCAACCUGGGAAUGGCGAUGGAUACUGGCUCGCUAGAGUGCGGUAGAGGAGAGUGGAAUUCCCGGUGUAGCAGUGAAAUGCGCAGAUAUCGGGAGGAACACCCAUUGCGAAGGCAGCUAACUACGCGAUAAUUGACGCUGAUGCACGAAAGCGUGGGGAUCAAACAGG
rnacentral:rRNA from 1 species